rnacentral:rRNA from 1 species
AUUGAACGCUGGCGGCAUGCUUUACACAUGCAAGUCGAACGGCAGCGCGGGCUUCUUCCUGGCGUCGAGUUGCGAACGGGUGAGUAAUUCAUCGGUACUUGCCCUGUCUUUUUGUAUUGCUCGGCUAAAGCCGGCUUAAUACCGCAUACGACCUGAUGUUGAAACCCUGGGUUCUUCGGUCCUCGCCCUUUUUGAUCUCCCGAUGGCAUAUUUGCUAGUUGGUUGGGUAAAGUCCUACCAAGGCGACGAUCUGUAGCUGGUCUGAGAGGGAGACCUGCCACACUGGAACUGAGACACGGACCAGACUCCUACGGGAGGCAGCAGUGGGGAAUUUUGGACAAUGGGCGAAAGCAUGAUCCAGCAAGGCCGCGUGUGUGAUGAAGGACUUCGGGUUGUAAAGCACUUUUGGAGGGAAAGAAAAGGAGUGUGACAAAAACAGGGUGAGAUGACGGUACCCGAAGAAAAAGCACCGGCUAACUACGUG